rnacentral:lncRNA from 1 species
AUUGUUUGACUCAGUGAAGCCUGUUGUGGAUCCUGCUACUGCCAAGCUCUGGACCCUCUCAGCCAAUGACAUGGAGGAUGACAGCAUGGAUCUCAUUGACUCAGAUGAGCUGCUAGAUCCAGAAGAUUUGAAGAAGCCUGAUCCAGCCUCUCUGAAGGCGCCUUCAUGUGGGGAAGGGAAAAAGAGGAAGGCCUGUAAGAACUGCACCUGUGGCCUGGCAGAGGAACUGGAGAAAGAGCAGUCCAAGGCGCAGAGCUCUCAGCCCAAGUCAGCCUGUGGAAAUAGGCUUGUAGCAGAGUGAAGCUGCUUGGGGCAGUGGGGUGUGGUGCUGCUAUGUCUUGAAAGACCAAGGUAUGAGGGACCUGCCUUCUUAGUGUUAGGAGGAGGAGAUGUACCGUAGGAACUCUGCUCCUGGUGUUACAGUGCUGACCCUCUCCACCCUUGAGUCUAGACAUCCUUGAAUAUUUAUGCUGAAUAAGCUCCAGGUCCACUCAUUGAUGCUGCCACUUGCUGAACUUCCUCAGUCCGUAUUACUUGGAGCCAUGGGUCAGCUGUAAAAGGGCCUCGGGCACCAAAGAAGUCACUCCCUUAGUUGUCGUGAUCCAUCUUGUGUCCUGCCUUUCUCACCUCACCCCAUUUUACUGUAGUGUUGUAUCUGUGUCCUGUUGUGAUUUCUGUUAAAUAGGUAUUAAAUUUUUGUGUUUCUGUC